rnacentral:misc_RNA from 1 species
GAUGAAGAACGUAGCGAAAUGCGAUAAGUAGUGUGAAUUGCAGAAUUCAGUGAAUCAUCGAAUCUUUGAACGCACAUUGCGCCCCUUGGUAUUCCAUGGGGCAUGCCUGUUCGAGCGUCAUUUGUACCCUCAAGCUUUGCUUGGUGUUGGGCGUCUUGUCGUAUUACGACUCGCCUUAAAUACAUUGGCAGCCGGCACUUUGGCCUAGGAGCGCAGCACAUUUUGCGAUCGUAGCCCGUUGUACUGGCGUCCAUCAAGAACAUUUACCACGUUUGACCUCGGAUCAGGUAGGGAUACCCGCUGAACUUAAGCAUACAAUAAGCGGAGGA